AGGUCAUUUCAAAGAGAGCUGUGGAGCUGUGAAAGCGAGAGCUCUUAAUGCUACGAUAAAAAAUUGAAGUUCUCUGUGGAAUGCAAUAGUCACUCUAGAGCGCUAUGUUUUCCUGAGGAUAAAUAUGA
rnacentral:snoRNA from 1 species